GACGAACGCUGGCGGCGUGCUUAACACAUGCAAGUCGAACGAAGUGGCGAACGGGUGAGUAAUACGUGAGUAACCUGCCCUCCUUUUUGGGAUAAGCCUUGGAAACGGGGUCUAAUACCGAAUAAAGGGGGAUGGGCUCGCGGCCUAUCAGCUUGUUGGUGGGGUGAUGGCCUACCAAGGCGGUGACGGGUAGCCGGCCUGAGAGGGUGACCGGCCACAUUGUGACGGAGAUCAGGCCCAGAGUGCUACGGGGGGCAGCAGUGGGGGUGAUGGAACAAUGGGCGAAGGCCUGAGGCAGAGACGCCGCGUGGGGGAUGAAGGUGUUCGGGUUGUAAACCUCUUUCGCGACCGAACGGGUAGGUGGAGAAGAAGCGCCGGCUAACUACGUGCCAGCAGCCGCGGUAAUGC
rnacentral:rRNA from 1 species